CACGUAGGCGGAUCAGAAAGUAGGGGGUGAAAUCCCGAGGCUCAACCUCGGAACUGCCUCCUAAACUCCUGGUCUUGAGUUCGAGAGAGGUGAGUGGAAUUCCAAGUGUAGAGGUGAAAUUCGUAGAUAUUUGGAGGAACACCAGUGGCGAAGGCGGCUCACUGGCUCGAUACUGACGCUGAGGUGCGAAAGUGUGGGGAGCAAACAGGAUUAGAUACCCUGGUAGUC
rnacentral:rRNA from 1 species